UACGUAGGGUGCAAGCGUUGUCCGGAUUUAUUGGGCGUAAAGAGCUCGUAGGCGGUCUGUCGCGUCGGAUGUGAAAACUCGGGGCUCAACCCCGGGCCUGCAUUCGAUACGGGCAGACUAGAGUUCGGCAGGGGAGACUGGAAUUCCUGGUGUAGCGGUGAAAUGCGCAGAUAUCAGGAGGAACACCGGUGGCGAAGACGGGUCUCUGGGCCGAAACUGACGCUGAGGAGCGAAGGCGUGGGGAGCAAACAGG
rnacentral:rRNA from 1 species